UGCAAGCCGAGCGGUAGAUUGCUUUCGGGCAAUUGAGAGCGGCGUACGGGUGCGGAACACGUGUGCAACCUGCCUUUAUCUGGGGGAUAGCCUUUCGAAAGGAAGAUUAAUACCCCAUAAUAUAAGARACGGCAUCGUUUUUUAUUGAAAACUCCGGUGGAUAGAGAUGGGCACGCGCAAGAUUAGAUAGUUGGUGAGGUAACGGCUCACCAAGUCGACGAUCUUUAGGGGGCCUGAGAGGGUGAUCCCCCACACUGGUACUGAGACACGGACCAGACUCCUACGGGAGGCAGCAGUGAGGAAUAUUGGACAAUGGGUGAAAGCCUGAUCCAGCCAUCCCGCGUGAAGGACGACGGCCCUAUGGGUUGUAAACUUCUUUUGUAUAGGGAUAAACCUUUCCACGUGUGGAAAGCUGAAGGUACUAUACGAAUAAGCACCGGCUAACUCCGUGCCAGCAGCCGCGGUAAUACGGAGGGUGCAAGCGUUAUCCGGAUUUAUUGGGUUUAAAGGGUCCGUAGGCUGAUUUGUAAGUCAGUGGUGAAAUCUCACAGCUUAACUGUGAAACUGCCAUUGAUACUGCAAGUCUUGAGUGUUGUUGAAGUAGCUGGAAUAAGUAGUGUAGCGGUGAAAUGCAUAGAUAUUACUUAGAACACCAAUUGCGAAGGCAGGUUACUAAGCAACAACUGACGCUGAUGGACGAAAGCGUGGGGAGCGAACAGGAUUAGAUACCCUGGUAGUCCACGCCGUAAACGAUGCUAACUCGUUUUUGGGGCGCAAGCUUCAGAGACUAAGCGAAAGUGAUAAGUUAGCCACCUGGGGAGUACGAACGCAAGUUUGAAACUCAAAGGAAUUGACGGGGGCCCGCACAAGCGGUGGAUUAUGUGGUUUAAUUCGAUGAUACGCGAGGAACCUUACCAAGGCUUAAAUGGGAAAUGACAGGCUUAGAAAUAGGCUUUUCUUCGGACAUUUUUCAAGGUGCUGCAUGGUUGUCGUCAGCUCGUGCCGUGAGGUGUUAGGUUAAGUCCUGCAACGAGCGCAACCCCUGUCACUAGUUGCCAUCAUUAAGUUGGGGACUCUAGUGAGACUGCCUACGCAAGUAGAGAGGAAGGUGGGGAUGACGUCAAAUCAUCACGGCCCUUACGCCUUGGGCCACACACGUAAUACAAUGGCCGGUACAGAGGGCAGCUACACAGCGAUGUGAUGCAAAUCUCGAAAGCCGGUCUCAGUUCGGAUUGGAGUCUGCAACUCGACUCUAUGAAGCUGGAAUCGCUAGUAAUCGCGCAUCAGCCAUGGCGCGGUGAAUACGUUCCCGGGCCUUGUACACACCGCCCGUCAAGCCAUGGAAGUCUGGGGUACCUGAAGUCGGUGACCGUAAAAGGAGC
rnacentral:rRNA from 1 species